GGGGCCUUAGCUCAGCUGGGAGAGCGCCUGCCUUGCACGCAGGAGGUCAGCGGUUCGAUUCCGCUAGGCUCCA
rnacentral:tRNA from 1 species